rnacentral:rRNA from 1 species
AACGAACGCUGGCGGCAUGCCUAACACAUGCAAGUCGAACGCUACCUCCGGGUCUUGUGGCGCACGGGUGCGUAACGCGACGGGACCUGCCCUUGUGUUCGGCCUACCUUCCCGAAAGGGGUGCUAAUACCGGAUAGUGUCUUCGGCCCAAUGAUUUAUCGCACUUGGAUGGGCCCGCGUUGGAUUAGCUAGUUGGUAGGGUAAGAGCCUACCAAGGCGACGAUUCUUAGCUGGUCAGGGAGGAUGAUCAGCCACACUGGGACUGAGACACGGCCCAGACUCCUACGGAAGGGAGCAGUGGGGAAUAUUGGACGCUGGGCGAAAGUCUGAUCCAGCAGUGCCGCGUAAGUGAUGAAGGCCUUAGGAUUGUAAAGCUCGUUUAGCCGGGAUGAUAAUGACGGUACCGGGAGAAUAAGCGCCGGCUAACUCCGUG